GACGAACGCUGGCGGCGUGCCUAACACAUGCAAGUCGAACGGAAAGGCCCUGCUUUUGUGGGGUGCUCGAGUGGCGAACGGGUGAGUAACACGUGAGUAACCUGUCCUUGACUUUGGGAUAACAUCAGGAAACUGGGGCUCAUACCGGAUAGGAGCUCUUGCUGCAUGGUGGGGGUUGGAAAGUUUCGGCGGUUGGGGAUGGACUAGCGGCUUAUCAGCUUGUUGGGGGGGUAGUGGCUUACCAAGGCUAUGAGGGGUAGCCGGCCUGGGAGGGUGGCCGGCCACAAUGGGACUGAGGUACGGCCCAGACGCCUACGGGAGGCAGUGGGGGAGAGUAUUGCGCAAUAGGCGGAAGCCUGAUACGACAACGUCGCGUGCGGGAAGACGGCCUUCGGGUUGUGAACCGCUUUCGCCUGUGACGAGGCGUGAGUGACGGUAAUGGGUAAAGAAGCACCGGCUAACUACGUG
rnacentral:rRNA from 1 species